GAUGAACGCUGGCGGCGUGCCUAAUACAUGCAAGUCGAGCGAACGGACGAGAAGCUUGCUUCUCUGAUGUUAGCGGCGGACGGGUGAGUAACACGCGGAUAACCUACCUAUAAGACUGGGAUAACUUCGGGAAACCGGAGCUAAUACCGGAUGAUAUUUUGAACCGCAUGGUUCAAAAGUGAAAGACGGUCUUGCUGUCACCUAUAGAUGGAUCCGCGCUGCAUUAGCUAGUUGGUAAGGUGACGGCUUACCAAGGCAACGAUGCAUAGCCGACCUGAGAGGGUGAUCGGCCACACUGGAGCUGAGACACGGUCCAGACUCCUACGGGAGGCAGCAGUAGGGAAUCUUCCGCAAAGGGCGAAAGCCUGACGGAGCAACGCCGCGUGAGUGAUGAAGGUCUUCGGAUCGUAAAACUCUGUUAUUAGGGAAGAACAUAUGUGUAAGUAACUGUGCACAUCUUGACGGUACCUAAUCAGAAAGCCACGGCUAACUACGUG
rnacentral:rRNA from 1 species